rnacentral:tRNA from 1 species
GGAUGAGGAUGGGGUCCGGUGGCCCCCGCGGUCUUCAAAACCGUAGGCUGUAAUUUAUUGCAGCGGCAGGUUCGAUUCCUGCCCCAUCCGCA